GGCGUGGGUGGGAUUGAAGUUGCAAAUGAGAACCUCUCCUAAAAAUAACUUUUCCAGCUCCAAUGCCUUGAAAAACUAUUUAACCCCAUCAGGCACUGAGCUCUGUAUCUCUUUCAAAGUUGCUUUUGGCCUACAGUGGCAUCCCUAAUCAGAUUCUUGCCUUGAUGAUCUCUCUUUGCCCAGCUGCUCAGUUUGGAGGGCUGAGUUGAUCUAGGCAGUGUCUGGGUGGUAAAACACAAGUUCCGCUUCUAAAUGAUAGACGUACUGUGCCCAAAUGCUUAGAUUUUUUUAUGCCUUUCUCCUGAUCUGUGUCUCUCUGCCACCACAGGAAAUCACUGAGUUAUUUGCAAAUGCUUUGGUCUUCAUAUUUAAAACUUUGCUCGAAUUUCACUUCCUGCCUGGUAGACCUUAUAGAGCCAGGACCUUAGGAAAUUCUGCUUUCUUUUCCUCGUGACAACGAAGAUGAAUUAAUCGUUUUCUUCCUACAAGAGCUUGUGAAUCAAAUUGUGUGGAAGACUUGCAAUUUCAAUAUCUAUUUUUUUUCUUCUUUAUGAACUUGACAAGCUACGGUAUCAAUAGAAGUGGAAGGACAGACAUCCACACAAUGUUUUUUUUUUUAGUUUUAAGAGAGAUUAAAUA